rnacentral:rRNA from 1 species
AGUGAACGCUGGCGGCAGGCCUAACACAUGCAAGUCGAACGGCAGCACAAGAGAGCUUGCUCUCUGGGUGGCGAGUGGCGGACGGGUGAGGAAUGCAUCGGAAUCUGCCCAUUUGUGGGGGAUAACCUCGGGAAACCGGGGCUAAUACCGCAUACGACCUACGGGUGAAAGCAGGGGAUCUUCGGACCUUGCGCAGAUGGAUGAGCCGAUGCCGGAUUAGCUAGUUGGAGGGGUAAAGGCCCACCAAGGCGACGAUCCGUAGCUGGUCUGAGAGGAUGAUCAGCCACACUGGGCCUGAGACACGGCCCAGACUCCUACGGGAGGCAGCAGUGGGGAAUAUUGGACAAUGGGCGCAAGCCUGAUCCAGCCAUGCCGCGUGUGUGAAGAAGGCCUUCGGGUUGUAAAGCACUUUUGUUGGGAAAGAAAAGCAGCCGGUUAAUACCCGGUUGUCAUGACGGUACCCAAAGAAUAAGCACCGGCUAACUUCGU